AUUGAACGCUGGCGGCAGGCCUAACACAUGCAAGUCGAACGGUAACAGGAAGAAGCUUGCUUCUUUGCUGACGAGUGGCGGACGGGUGAGUAAUGUCUGGGAAACUGCCUGAUGGAGGGGGAUAACUACUGGAAACGGUAGCUAAUACCGCAUAAUGUCGCAAGACCAAAGAGGGGGACCUUCGGGCCUCUUGCCAUCGGAUGUGCCCAGAUGGGAUUAGCUAGUAGGUGGGGUAACGGCUCACCUAGGCGACGAUCCCUAGCUGGUCUGAGAGGAUGACCAGCCACACUGGAACUGAGACACGGUCCAGACUCCUACGGGAGGCAGCAGUGGGGAAUAUUGCACAAUGGGCGCAAGCCUGAUGCAGCUAUGCCGCGUGUAUGAAGAAGGCCUUCGGGUUGUAAAGUACUUUCAGCGGGGAGGAAGGGAGUAAAGUUAAUACCGUUGCUCAUUGACGUUACCCGCAGAAGAAGCACCGGCUAACUCCGUG
rnacentral:rRNA from 1 species